rnacentral:lncRNA from 1 species
CUAUCUGUCCCUCUCUCUCUCCCUCUCUCUCUUUCUGACUCUAUCUGUCCCUCUCUCUCUCCCUCUCUCUCUCUCUCUCUCUCUCUCACACUUUCUGAAUCUAUCUGUCCCUCUCUCUCUCCCUCUCUCUCUUUCUGACUCUAUCUGUCCCUCUCUCUCUCGCUUUCUGACUCUAUCUGUCCCUCUCUCUCUCCCUCUCUCUCUCGCUUUCUGCGUAGAGCAAGGGCUGCUUCAGCCCCAGGUCCUAACGGAGUUCCAUACAGGCUCUACAAAAAUGCACCAGAUGCCCUGCGAUUCCUCUGGAAGCUCAUGAGGGUGGUCUGGCAAAAGAAGGAGAUACCAACAUCCUGGCAGAGAGCUGGAGGAAUCCUUAUCCCAAAGGAAAAGGACUCCUCAGAAAUCGGCCAAUUCCGCCAGAUCAGCCUCCUAAACGUCGAGGGGAAGAUAUUCUUCAGUGUGGUCGCUCACAGGCUGGCAGGAUACCUGCAAAGAAACCAUCUGAUUGACACAUCAAUCCAGAAAGCAGGCAUCUCUGGCUUCUCCGGUUGUCUGGAACAUGCGAGUACCAUCUGGCAUCAGAUCAAAGUUGCCAAGACGGAGGGAACAGAUCUUCACGUGGUGUUCCUGGAUCUCGCCAACGCCUUUGGCUCAGUCCCUCACAACCUCCUCUGGACCGCAUUUGACUUCUUCAGGGUCCCUGUAGCCCUAACAAGCCUUGUCAAGGCCUACUUCCAGGACGUACAGGUGUGCCUAUCAACAGCAGAGUACACCACAGCAUGGCAGCAUCUAGAAGUGGGAAUUAUGGCCGGCUGCACCAUCUCCCCGCUAGCCUUCACAAUGGCCAUGGAGAUGAUAAUUCGAGCAUCUCGGUGGGUGGUUGGAGGACAGCUUAUAAGACCUGGCCUGAGGCUGCCGCCUGUGAGAGCUUACAUGGACGACCUUACCACCCUCACCACGACCAAGGCUUGCACUGUACGGCUACUGAAAAAGCUGCAAGAUAACAUCGAGCUGGCUCGGAUGAAGAUCAAGCCGAGCAAGUCCAGAAGCAUCUCCAUCGUCAAGGGGAAGCUGUCAGACCAACGCUUUCUCAUUGGCGAUGAGCCUAUUCCAACUGUCUCUGAGAAGCCUGUGAAGAGCCUUGGCCGAUGGUAUGAUGCCUCUCUUAA